rnacentral:lncRNA from 1 species
AAACACAAUUAAUAAGUAUACUGACGUGCUUCCGCACUUGAUUUCCGGAUCUGUCUUCUGACACUGCUUUUGGGUUCAGCUCAGAUCGGACGAGUUCAGCGCUCAGUAAUUGACUAAUUAAUAUGCAGACUGCGCUUGGCAUUAGCUCUAAAGAUUGUCGUUUCAGAUCUCGUCGGAUUCCAAGUGCUGUCUCUGCUUCCACGGCUUAGUCAUGCAACGGCACUGACCUUGCCCGAUGUCAAACACCCGUAUCGCAUUUUAAUUUGAUGCUCUCUGGGCGAUCGCUUUUGGGUGUUGUCAUGGCUUGUGGCGGAACAGAAGAGUGGGAUAGUGAAGGUAGGAUCAAUAGUUUAGUAGGCGAUGAGGAUGAGACAGGCAAAACAAACUUCCGUGACAUGUUACGAAGUAGCCGGUUGCAACUUCAUGUUCAUAUUCUCUUACUUUACUUGUUUUAUGAAGUAAUUUCAGUAUUUCAGUGCUUCGUUUCUCCGGACACGCCCUUAAAUAUACGCAUAAUAUAUUUGCAUUUUGCAAAUUACAUGCUCAACAAAGGCAGGAACAGCAACAGCAACUCCAUCUGUUUGACGUUUUCCGGUUGCCAGCAACAAAAUAAAAGUUUCUACAUAACCACCCGUACUUACAAAUUAAU